rnacentral:misc_RNA from 1 species
GAUGAAGAACGUAGCGAAAUGCGAUAAGUAAUGCGAAUUGCAGAAUUCCGUGAGUCAUCGAAUCUUUGAACGCGCAUUGCGUCCUCUGGUAUUCCGGAGGGCAUGCCUGUCUGAGCGUCAUUGUCAACCCUCAAGCUCAGCUUGCUGUUGGGUCCCCGUCGUUGCUUUAACGGCGGACCCGAAAGGUAAUGGCAGAGUCCGUGAGACCCUAGACGCAGCGAGCUUCUAGCACGCGUCUGGACGUUUUUCGGGCUCGGUCUUAACUAGAUGAUAACUUCCGAUUGACCUCAGAUCAGGUAGGGAUACCCGCUGAACUUAAGCAUAUCAAUAAGCGGAGGA